rnacentral:rRNA from 1 species
GAUCAUGGCUCAGAUUGAACGCUGGCGGCAUGCUUUACACAUGCAAGUCGAGCGGCAGCGCGGGGGCAACCCUGGCGGCGAGCGGCGAACGGGUGAGUAAUGCAUCGGAACGUACCCUGGAGUGGGGGAUAACGCCGCGAAAGCGGCGCUAAUACCGCAUAUGCUCUGAGGAGGAAAGUGGGGGACCGCAAGGCCUUGCGCUCUUUGAGCGGCCGAUGUCAGAUUAGCUAGUUGGUGAGGUAACGGCUUACCAAGGCGACGAUCUGUAGCGGGUCUGAGAGGAUGAUCCGCCACACUGGAACUGAGACACGGUCCAGACUCCUACGGGAGGCAGCAGUGGGGAAUUUUGGACAAUGGGCGCAAGCCUGAUCCAGCCAUGCCGCGUGAGUGAAGAAGGCCUUCGGGUUGUAAAGCUCUUUCGGCCGGGAAGAAAUCGCAUGGGUUAAUACCCUGUGUGGAUGACGGUACCGGAAUAAGAAGCACCGGCUAACUACGUG